rnacentral:lncRNA from 1 species
UAUGAUGAUAUAUGAGCUUAUUUUUAACUUCCGAACCACUAUAUUGUUAAAACUCAGUACAAUACACCGCCAAGGGUGGUAAUGCUACUAGGUGCACUAUAGUACCUAGGGUAGAUACCAUAUCUAGAUGGCAAGUUCAAAGCCAACAGAGCUUGAGCUUGAGCUUGAGCCAGAUUCCGAUCAAAGUAGAGAUCAUCAAACUGCUGGAGUUGUAGCUGCUGCGCUAUGGCCUGAACAAUGUUAAUACCUUGAUAGUGAGACUGCUGCGCCACCACCCUGAGCUGUUGCCAGACUUGGUUGUUUCUCAGUUGAAACGCAGCUGAUUGCAAUAAGGGGCUUGCCGCUAUGCCAUACUGCUGCCUUACGAACUCAUUAUAUGGGCUAAGCACCUGUUGCUGUAGCAGGAGAGGCGACUGCAGCUAAUAUUGCCUAUAACUUUGACCUAAAACAUCAAACUGCGCAGAGGCGCUGCAUGCAGCAAUAGCAAGAAGAGCAAAGACGAAAAUGAUCUUCAUUGCUACGGGACACUAGAUCUUUCUUUCUUGCUGUAUAAUGCUUGAACUGUGUGAACGAUGGGGAGGGUUUUCAUUGCGCUUGUCUAUUUAUAGAUGCGAUGGGACUGAUUUUCUUUCAAUUCCUCAUCGGUUGCUUUGGAGUGUUAGUUUUGCUUUGAUGUCCUAUUAGAAUCCAAGUGAGUCAUGUCAUUUGGACACAUGUUCUAUUAGGUGCCCCAACAAAUCCCCUUUGAUUUCAUCACGAAAGUAACUUUUGUGUCCAUCACAUAUACUCCCUCCGUCCCGUAAGGAGAAACCCACUUCUAGGGAUGAACCUGAACAAUCAUUUGUCCAGAUUCAUACCUAAACCCUAAACCUUGUUUAGGUUCAUCCCUGGAAGUUGUCAUUUUUGGGAUCGGAAGGUGUACAUGUUGGUUAGCAGGCUAGAAAAAUAAUGAUAUGACACAUCGCUCACUUUAUACGUUAGUUUGGUAAGGAUUGCAACCGUUAUCUAGCUAUAUUCGUUAUGUUUUGUGAGCUAUUAUUUCACUAAUGCAUGACACGUUGAACAUUAAGGUCGUGUGGCCUCAUGCAUUUUAUAUUACAAAAUUUCAACAAGAGUGACAAAAAUUAUGGUACACCAAGUGCUUUUUAUUGUUCCGUUGUUGUGGUACCGAACAUUUGAUUUUACAGCAAGAAUUAGGUUUGCACUGAAUUCUUAAAUCACCAUUCGAGAGAUUUACGAGAAAUCACCAUUUUGCUAUACAUGUAGUGCAGGAUUGACGUAAUUCAUAUUCUUGUAAACCAACUUGUUACGUGUUUUCUUGUCUAAACUUUUUGGAUAGACUUGGGCUGUGUUCAGAAUCCAGGGUUCCCAACCCAUCUCCAUCGUAUUCCGCGCGCACGCUUUUCAAACUGCUAAACGGUGUGUUUUUUUGCAAAAAGUUUCUAUACAAAAGUUGCUUAAAAAUCAUAUUAAUCCAUUUUUUGAAAAAAAGCUAAUGCUUAACUAAUCACGCUCUAAUGGACCGCCCUGUUUUCCGUGCGCACUUUGCAUGUUGGGAACAGCUGAUUCCAAACACAGCCUUGAUUCGUUUUCGAGAUGGAAAAGAACUACCACAGAUUUGUAGUGUGUCAAGAACCGGUUUCCUUUGGGUACAUCAUGCAUGAGUUCCUCUAGUUUUUUUGAAACAUCAGGUUUAUUAUCCAUUUUGUUUGCAGUAAACUAUCUACUUGCUAUGUUAGAUUAAUCUUCUCAUAGAAACGAGGGUGUCAGCAAGAACAACCUCAGCAUGUAGGAGCAUUCCAUAAGUAAGACAUCUCAUAAUUUUCACUUUGGAAGAAGUGUACAUUUUUUUAAAGUCACUCUUUCGUGACUGAAUAAACUAAGGAACAUAAUAAAUCCUUCUUUCUAGUUUCCACCCUCGUUGUUGCUGUUGCACUUUUUGCUUCUAUACUGAAUUAGUUACGUCUAGGUUAUGCUUCUGUGAUACCAAGUGAGCGAGGCUGAACUAAAGAAUGACUUGUACACUACAUCUUGUCAGGAAGGAUGGACAACAAGAUGGCUUUCAAUUGAAAUUAAUAUGCAUAUAAGAAAGUCAUUAAUAUAUCAAUGUUUAAAACUUUGAAAUUGUCAGGGUUAUGGAUACCACAUACCUAAUAGUAGUUGACUAAAUCUCGGCAGCACCCACCAGAUACCAUGUCCUAUACGGAAACAACCUACGGAUAUAGGAGAAGUUCUGGAUAAGGAAAGACAACCAGAGUUCUGUAUGGAAACGACAAGUACUACUCGGAUUGUAUCCAUAUUGGUUUCCCUAGUUUUACUUGGACAAGGGGACACUUAUGGGUAUAAAUACAAGACCCCUUAGGAGGAGAGGGGACACGACCACCUCAAUCAACACCGACCAUAAUCAACAUACACGGAACAACAGAAGCCACAACAUACAAACCAACAUACGCCAAGACAACACGUUGGAUAUCGACUUCAGGGAUAAGCACGGCUAGUCCCCUACGCUGUCUCUGGAUACUGUCAGGAGAGACAAAAGUGCUAUCUCUGAUCUUGCCGGGCAGGAACUAAAGGAGGAAGACUACCCUGUUGUCGACUACGAGUCAGACAUACAGACCGCCAUGUCGACAACAGUUAGAUAGGCUACCCCAAAUAUUGUACUCGUGUGAUUAUGGUGAAUAAGAGCAAUACCGGCUUCGGCCAACAGGAUAUAGGGUUAUUACCUGACAAUUCAGGGGCCCGAACCUGUAUAAAAAUCGUCGCCUCUGUCUCUUUUACCUCAGUCUCGCGUAUGUCCUAGUACCGACGAUCCCCAUACUAUGCAAAUACCGGAAUCGCGACAUCAAACGUCGACAGUGGCGCGCCAGGUAGGGGGAUUUUUUGGUGCUUCAGGAUUUAGACGAGAUGGGUUUAAGAGAUGGAUUCUCCAACAAUAAGCUACUCGACGACUUCGGAUCAGGGAGAUCCAACCUGGCCAAAGUACGUCUCCCAACGAGAUUGGAAUCAUCGCCAUCAACUAUUCGAUCCGGCGAGACCAAUCAAGCUUCAAGAUGUCGCAGCGGCAGAGGACCAUAGUGUUGGCGGAAUCCAAAACUGAUCCGACACUAACCCAUCGACGUGCAGGACGCCAACCGGUGGGCGGCAUCAGCUGGCCGGGUCCAAGCCAGACUCGGCAUCGAUCUCCAUCAACAAAACAAGCACGUCGAGGAGCUGAAAUACAAGCACCACAUUGAUCUGUUCAGUGGCUAAUAUCCUAAUCGGAUUCGAGGAGUUCUGUAGUUUGCGCUAGAAUCAAAUUUCUAGUUGACAAAUCUGACUACUCGUCCUGAUGACGCGAAUUCAACAAAUAUGCCUGCUCCUUACACGUACACAGUACACAUGCAUAUGUAUGGAGUCAGUACGUGUCCAGCCACCCAUGAUCAGGUAUUUAGUAGAUUGAUUUUUUAAAUUGAUCUACUAAUUCUGUAGAUAUAUCCGGCAUAUAUCUACAAAGGUACGCAAUAUUUUAUAUACAAUUUACUGUACCUACUUUUCAAGAUCAUACAGCAUUGUCGGAUCUAUAAUUUAUUAUGUUUACCUAGAGCAUGUUUUUAUACAAUAUAUAUUGCGCGAGUGUCCCCGAUGUUAAAUCGACUACGAUCUAACGCUGGGGGCUUGUCACGACCGGAAAUAAUCUAACGGGCGUUCCUUACGUGCGUGCAUUAUUCCUUGUCCUAGGAGGCAAGGUACACCAAAAGUUGAUACAGUUCAGAGUUCAACAAGCGGAAGCGUAAAUAGUUAAUUUAUUACAGGGCGGCGAAGGCCCAGCACACACAAAGACAAACGGGAAACAGCGGAAGACUAGGGCGACGACCACAGGCGCUUGACGGCAGGCAUGAGCUAGACACCAAAGCCUUCAUCUUCCAGGGGCUCCUCUUCUGGGUUUGGGAAAAAUUGAGCAAGACUGAGUACAACCACCGUACUCAACAAGACACACCCACAAGUGCAGAAUAAAUGCAAGGGAGUACAAGGGGGUUAUAAUAUAAAGGGUUAGGGUUUGCAGUAAACGGCAUUAAAAGACACUUAGUUGCUCAAAGCUAUUUUGUAAACACGAUUCUAGAACUAUACAAUAUUAUUAAUAAAGGCCGUGAACCCACACGAACCUGCCUUAACCCAAGGCCUACGAUGAUUCAGACCGAACUGGCAACCCGACCCUGGGUCCCAGCUCGUCCCAAGCCAACCCAGGCCAUCCAUUCCACAUUUUAGUUGUUAAGCAGGUUUUAAGAAUUAAAACACUAACUUGGGUACAUUGCUCGGCUUGCCCAUAACUGAGGGCGCGGCUAUUCGAAUAGAUUAUACUCUGAUCAGAGGUGUACAUCUUUACCCACAAGACACAUCUUUCUCACGUGUAACCACGUGCCACAUACCACCACGGUAUACGGACGGAAGACGUGACAUAGUUUCCAACCCAUCCUAGCCAUAGACAAGAGUACUGACCCAACCCCACCUACGGCCGGAACCUCCGGGACAGGUAGGCAGGACUGAGCCCCUAGCAGCAGGACACCGGCCCUGUGCCAUGAUAUCUCGACUACCGAGCCGCAGCUCGUGUAGCCUUCAUUUGUCCUAGAGAUGUCCAUCGACCCCCGACUUCGUCCAUCUCCAUCCGUGUACUUUUGUUUAUAACCAGACUGAGCCACAAACUAAGCCUUACCCACUAGACAUGUGGAAGUACGGUAGUGCUUUGCAACAGAGGCCCGAAGACCGGUCCUUAUAUGGCCGAGGUGCUACUAUCAAAACCAUGCACCCCGAGCCCAGCCUAAAACCAUUUUGAGGAUUUUGAAUAGAGGGGGAGGUGUGAAUCCAAUUCCACAAUAAUCCAACAAUUCCAUAGUGUCCAGGUGAUAUGAAUAUUCCCAAAGUCUAGAGUUGUAAAACCACCUAGUGUUGCCUAAUUUAACCGGCGAAGCAUCUACCUAAAUUCAUACUAGUGGUACCAUGAGUAGAGUGUCCACUAGUUGGGGUUUUGUUUAACCUAGGGUGAACAAGGAAAUAAUAACAAUAACAAUAAUAAGGUCAUACAAAGGCAAAUAGGCAUGGCUAAACAAAACAGUGAUAACGCGGGAAUUUAAAUAAAGCGAUAAUGCAAUAAUUUAAAUCAAUAUAAUUUUAUAAACUGGGAUUCAAUGUGUUCAAGGAUGAUGUGACUUGCCUUGCUCGCUUUCCCAAACGUCGACUUCAACUUCCACGAAGAGCGGAUCUUCCGAAGCUGCAGCGUCUACACGACCAACGAAAAAGAAAAGGCUUUUACUCUAAUAAACUCCAUAUAACAAGCAGAAACAAAGCACAAAAAUGGGUUCUUGACUUCUUAAGGAAAAAUUAGAGACUUGAACGGUCCAAUUCCGUGUUCAAAUGGCCAAGUUAUGGUCAUUUGAAGUUUAUAUGCUCUUUAAAUGAAUAUUUGCGAAUUUCUUCAUUUAAAUUUUAAUUUAAAAAAAAAAAGGUUUAUUGCGUCAGCCGAGAGGAGGGGCGCGCGGACCGGGUCCACGGGAGUGGGGCCCACGCGGCAGCCUCACGGUCCACGGUGGACCGGGCGUACCCGGGCUCGCACCGGCCGGCGCCGUGGGCCCCACGCGUCAGCCGCACCUAAGGGCGCGGGCGGCUGACGGCCGGGCCCCACGCGGCAGCCGCUAGGCGCGCCCGGAGGCGGCCACGUCGGUGCGGCCGGCGGGAGGCGGCGCGCCUGCGCCCCUAUGGUCGCCGGCGGCGGCCAUAGGCACGGCGGAGCGGCGGCCGAGAGAGGGGAGGGAAAAGGGGGAAACGAAACGGCGGUCCACGGCUCACCCCGGGUCGACGGCGACGACGGAAACGGCGACCGGAGCGGAGGAAGGCGGCGGCGCGGCUCGGGUGGACGGGGUCGACGGUGCUCCGGCGGUCGACGAGCGAAACGGAGGGGUGGACGAGGUCGGCGAGGAUGCGGCGAAGCCGAAGGAGGCGGCGCCGAGGUGGGAGGUGGUCCGGGGCGACGACGGCGGCGGACCGGAGCUCGACGGCGACGGCGGAGAGAGGGAGCGACGGCGCGAGCUCGAUUCCGGCGGUGAGAGAGGGCGGUGAGUGGCGGAAACGGUGGUGGGGAGCUCGGGGAGGGUUUAUAUAGGGUUGGGAGUGAGAGAGGGCGGCCGGAGGAGGGGGAAACGGGCGCGGGAGACCCGGCCGCCAUUAAUGGCGCCGGCGAGGUUAGGGGAGGGGUUUCCAAAUGAAUCCGAGGGAGAGAGAGAGGGAAAAAUGGGGGGAAAGGGGGAGGGGAUCCCGGGGAAUAAUUCCCCCGUAUUGAUUGCAUGCGGGGAGGACGGGGGCGGCGGGAUUCGCGGCGGCGGCGGCGCUAGGGCGCGGGCUAGGCGGCGGGAGCGGCGGGAGGAAGGGGAUGACGGGUGGGCCCCACCCGUCAGCGAGGGUGGCGGGCGGUCCCGCCCGUCAGCGGCGCGCGCGGGGAGAGGCCGGAUGGGCCGCGGGGGAGAGGAGAGAGGGGGAGAGAGAUGGGCCGAGCCGGCCCAAGAGGGAGAGGGAGGGAUAGGGGACUUUCUAGAGUUUUUCUUUUUAUAAAAUCAUUUUAACUUUGUUUAUUUCUUAACAAUUAUUAUUUGUGCUCUGAAAAUUCCACUAAAAUUUAUUUAUGCAUUUUAGGCUUUUAGGAAAUAUACAAAAAUCCUCCAAGCCUUAUUUGACUUUUAACUUUGCACAUUUUAAUUGUUGAAGGCUUGCACACAGAUUUUAAUUAUUCUAGGCAUAAUUUUAAGGAUAUAUUUUAGAGUCGUUUUGGGACGUGACAGGGUUCACUCUAUUUUCUUCCAUAUAAAUCAUGCUUGUUUACGGUUUACAUAAUGCCUGAUAUUUAUAUAUGCUCGUUAUAUCCUGAUAAUGCUAGAAAAUCCAUGUAGUUUUUUGAGUACACACUUGAUAUUAUCUGCUAUAUAUCUUGUCUUCUAGAAAAUAUUUUUCAGGAAUAAUUGAGCACUCAAGUAGGUUGUGAUCAAGUACACCGCAUUAUUGAGAACAAUCUCGACAAAUGCAGAGUCGUCGCGCCCAACCUACCAACAAAGACCGACGACCUAUCUCAUAGCGCCGGCCGUGGCUGGACUAUUUGAGAAAAAUGUUGUUAACGGAUAAUUCCUCGUGAACGUUGUCGGCUUGAUCACCCGACAUGAUUGCGAACGGACAUCCGGAUAUGCUACAAGUUGGGUGUGUGAGUCAUGCUGGCCACAUGAGAUACACAUGUAAUAAACCAACUCUAGUGCUUCCAUUGGUGUUCGAGAGAUGAUUCUACUCGCUCGCUGGUUCUCGAACCAGUACGUAGCAAUCUCCCGCACCGCAACCUCCAUUGGUGUUCGAGAGAUGAUUCUACUCGCUCGCUGGUUCUCGAACCAGUACGUAGCAAUCUCCCGCACCGCAACUUCCAUUGGUGUUCGAGAGAUGAUUCUACUCGCUCACUGGUCCUCGAACCAGUACGUAGCAAUCUCCCGCACCGCAAACUUCCAUUGGUGUUCGAGAGAUGAUUCUACUUGCUCGCUGGUUCUCGAACCAGUACGUAGCAAUCUCCCGCCACUUCCAUUGGUGUUCGAGAGAUGAUUCUACUCGCUCGCUGGUUCUCGAACCAGUACGUAGCAAUCUCCCACACCUCAACCUUCAUUGGUGUUUGAGAGAUAAUUCUACACGUUCGCUGGUCCUCGAACUAGUGCGUAGCAAUCUCUCAAACCGCAACCUCUAUUGGUGUCCAAGAGAUAAUUCUACUUGUCCGCUGGUCCUCGAACCAGUGCGUAGCAAUCUCUCGCACCGCAACCUCAGAUGGUCGAGGUACGGCUACAGCAAUAACGCAGCAGUCCAUGCACCACAACUUCAAAUGAUCGAGAGACACCUACUCACUGGUUCUCAACCAGUCAAUCGUACCGAUCUCUCGUACAUUCACUUCUAGUGGUUGAGUUACGACUACUACCUGGUUCUUGACCAGAGGUGUAGCGAUUCUCCCAUUACCUCUACUUCAACAAUGUUGAUAUCAGGUGCACAAUAUCGCCAAGUGUUUUACCCAGAGAUCCCUUACCACGAAAGACACCUAGCGUUGAAACCUAACCUAAUGUCCCUUUACGCCGUCUUGACAAAGUCUCUGAGGAACCUAAGGGAACUUCGGCUGGGGACGCCCAGAGCGGAUAAGGCUUUGUCGGAUCCUUUAGAGACGAAAGACCAUCUAAGAUCUGGUCGUUUAAGAGUUCUCGCCGUGCGUAUUAACCAAGCCGUGUAAUCGGAAAUGAAUUUUCUAACUUCACAGCUGGGGGCUAGGAUCAGUGCUUGUUCAACUAAGCCAGGUCAAAGGUCCAAGAGCCUUAUCAUCCGAGAACGAUUCUCCGACGAUAAGGCUGGGGGCUAGGGAGAGUGUAUAACUCAACAAACUGACUGGUCGAAGUCGGUAAAAGAGUAGACGCUCAUACACAAAACAUUAGUUUGUAAACCUAAUUCAUUUUCAGUUUUUCAUAUAUUCUAUAACACGUUACCCUUUGAGCACUCGCUCGGGGGAUAUUUUUAUCUAAUGUUCUUUUCUGAGUGUUGAUUUCAGGAAAAUUCUAUUCAACAUUGUCGAAGACUUCAUGUCUCUGUGGUUCUACACCAAGAUCGACUAAGGCGAGUACGACAAAUGUUGACAAGGCUCCGUCGUAGACUCUGCGCCUUCUCGAUCACUCAAGAAUGGUUGGUGGAUCUCAACAAGGAAUACGGAAUGAAGAGAUGGUGUACCCGCCAAGAUAAAAUUUCAUGACUUCAAUCCAAAUUCUCGAUUACAGCAAGACGGGAGACUUAGUCGUAUGCUCUGUACUUUCUUGGUUGACGUUGGAGAUUGACUCAGACAAACCCUUUAGGUGCCUGCACGAGGCUGAUAAAGGAAAUCUAACGUUAUCUCUGAACUCACCGAAAACGGUCACAUGAGCUCGAUAACAGUUCCUCCAAGGUCUGCUGUGGAGAAUAGGAACUCGUUCAUUUGCAUUGAAGUCGGGGGCUACUGUCAGGGUUAUGGAUACCACAUACCUAAUAGUAGUUGACUAAAUCUUAGCAGGACCCACCACAUACCAUGUCCUAUACGGAAACAACCUGCGGAUAUAGGAGGAGUUAUGGAUAAGGAAAGACAACCAGAGUUCUAUAUGGAAACGACAAGGACUGCUCGGAUUGUAUCCAUAUUGGUUUCCCUAGUUCUACUUGGACAAGGGGACACUUAUGGGUAUAAAUACAAGACCCCCUAGGAGGAGAGGGGACACGACCACCUCAAUCAACACCAACCACAAUCAACAUACACGGAACAAUAGAAGCCACAACAUACAAACCAACAUACACCAAGACAAGACGCCGGAUAUCGACUUUAGGGAUAAGCACGGCUAGUCCCCUACGGUGUCUCUGGAUACUGUCAGGAGAGACGAAAGUGCUAUCUCUGACCUCACCGGGCAUGAACUCGAGGAGGAAGACUACCCUGUUGUCGACUACGAGUCAGACCUACAGACCGCCAUGUCGACAACAGUUAGAUAGGCUACCCCAAAUAUUGUACUGGUGUGAUUAUGGUGAAUAAGAGCAAUACCGGCUUCGGCCAACAGGAUGUAGGGUUAUUACCUGACAAUUCAGGGGCCCGAACCUGUAUAAAAAUCCUCGCCUCUGUCUCUUUUACCUCAAUCUCACGUAUGUCCUAGUACCGACGAUCCCCAUACUAUGCAAAUACCGGAAUCGCGACUUCAAACGUCGACUGAAAUCAUAUCUUGAUGUCGCUUGAAACAACAUAUUUGCAUGAAGUGACACGUUUGCUCGACAAGGGCAUGUCAUAUUCACAAUGAUCAUGCAUAUGUGGCCUUUCAUAUGCGCUUAUUUUAGUAGUGGAUGAAGAAUCCAUGUGGAUUGCUACAUCUUUACGUGCUUUGUAUGGUCUAUGAUUUUGUUGUAGUGGAUUUAGUAUUUGCCAUAUGUGCUUCAUGUUUGUUCUUAUUGGAAUUAAAGGAUGGACAUCCUUUAUACGCUCCAUUUAUAUCUUAAAGACAAAGUAGCUUCGGAUCGAAUGUAAGCACACAAUAAAAUUGUAGAGUACCAAUGAUAGUAAUUAGUUACGACGAUGUACAAGGAUAUAUCACACCGAGUUUCUCAUGUCAAAUAUAUGAUGAUAUCUGAGCUUAUUUUUAACUUCCAAACCACUAUAUUGUUAAAACUCAGUACAAUACACCGCCAAGGGUGGUAAUGCUACUAGGUGCACUAUAGUACCUAGGGUAGAUACCAUAUCUAGAUGGCAAGUUCAAAGCCAACAGAGCUUGAGCUUGAGCUUGAGCCAGAUUCCGACCAAAGUAGAGAUCAUCAAACUGCUGGAGUUGUAGCUGUUGCGCUAUGGCCUGAACAAUGUUAAUAUCCUGAUAGUGAGACUGUUGCGCCACCAGCCUGAGCUGUUGCCAGACUUGGUUGUUUCUCAGUUGAAAUGCAGCUGAUUGCAAUAAGGGGCUUGCCGCUAUGCCAUACUGCUGCCUUACGAACUCAUUAUAUGGGCUAAGCACAUGUUGCUGUAGUAGGAGAGGCGACUGCAGCUGAUAUUGCCUAUAACUUUGACCUAAAACAUCAAACUGCGCAGAGGCGCUGUUUGCAGCAAUAGCAAGAAGAGCAAAGACGAAAAUGAUCUUCAUUGCUACGGGACACUAGAUCUUUCUUUUUUUGUUGUAUAAUGCUUGAACUGUGUGAACGAUGGGGAGGGUUUUCAUUGCGCUUGUCUAUUUAUAGAUGCAAUGGCACUGAUUUUCUUUCAAUUCCUCAUCGGUUGCUUUGGAGUGUUAGUUUUGCUUUCAUGUCCUAUUAGGAUCCAAGUGAGUCAUGUCAUUCGGACACAUGUUCUAUUAGGUGCCCCAACAAAUCCCCUUUGAUUUCAUCACGAAAGUAACUUUUGUGUCCAUCACAUAUACUCCCUCCAUCCAGUAAGGAGAAACCCACUUCUAGGGAUGAACCUGGACAAUCAUUUGUCCAGAUUCAUCCCUAAACCCUAAACCUUGUCCAGGUUCAUCCCCUAGAAGUUGUCAUUUUUGGGAUCGGAUGGUGUACAUGAUGGUUAGCAGGCUAGAAAGAUAAUGAUAUGACUCAUCGCUCACUUUAUACGUUAGUUUGGUAAGGAUUGCAACCAUUAUCUAGCUAUAUUUGUUAUGUUUUGUGAGCUAUUAUCCUAUAUACCUAUACAAAUCAUCCCCACUACUAGGAAUUCUCUGCAUCCUGGUGAUUCCACGUCAUCUUUUUUCUCUAGCCGUUGGUUUCUAAUCAAACGAUCAAGAUCACUGUCGCAUCGACUAUCCAUUAAAAUUUGAUUGACAUUGUAUCUCACUAACUCACGCCUAAAAUUAGGGUUUCUCUCCUCUAACGCGACGCCUUGGAGUUUCACCCUACCUCUCCGAUCUGGGUUGAUUUUGUCCCGGAGUCGGUUAGAAAUUCAAUCUAUGGCUGCUCUGCAAGUCGACGUGAAGACGAAGAGCGAUUUUACUGGAUCUCAUGGCGAGCGCAGCCUCUGCAACGGAGAGUCAGAAGUCGGCGAAACCUAAAGGAUCCACGGCAAGCCAAGAAGAUGAGGCAAAGGAUGAUAUUGAGAUGCUUUUGGAGGGUUUGGAUCUCAGGAAGGACGAGGAAGAGGAUGUUGAAUUGGAGGAAGAUCUCAAAGAGCUGGAAGCGGAUGCCCGAUGGUUAGCCCUAGCUAGGGUUCAUACAGAGAAAUCCUUUAGCCAUGGUGCUUUGUUUGCCAGCAUGCGAUCUGCAUGGAAUUGUGCGAAGGAAGUAGAUUUCAGGUCCAUGAAAGAUAAUUUGUUUUCAAUCCAAUUGAAUUGUCUUGCUGAUUGGGAGCGAGUUAUGGAGGAAGGACCAUGGAUUUUCCGUGGUUGUCCUGUGCUGCUUGCUGAAUAUGAUGGUUGGUCAGAGAUUGAAUCUGUGGUUCUUGAAACCUAUCCCACUUGGGUCCAGAUUCAUGAUCUGAAAGAGAAGAUCAGAACAGGGAGUAUUGCAACUCAGUUAGUCCGUAAAGCAGGAACUGUCAUCAAAUUAGAUGAGGCGUCAGUAAAAGGGAGUGGUGAUGGUGUUCGAGUAAGGGUGAAAGUUGAUGUUCGUAAGCCUCUCCUGCGAGUAGGAGCACCACUUUGAAUAAGAAGAAGUGGUUUUUCCGGCUGAUGUAUGAGAAGAUGCUGGUCUUCUGUGGGAUUUGUGGUCUGGUGGGUCAUGUCACAAAGGAGCAUGGUGAUGGCGUGCAUCUUCCAGAAGCGAUACAGUAUCCUGAUACUUUGGUAGCACCUGAGUUUAGAAGAUCGGGUAACUGGUUUAAUGGUGGCGGAAGAAAAGGCCGAGGCCAAGGAAGAGGAAGGGGAUGGAGUGGUCGUUCUUAUCGACCUGACUCUGAUAUGGCUGCGUAUGAUGGGGGCGACGAUGAGGAGAUGAUGGAUACAGCCACUAGCCCUUCAAAACAAGUGGCUAAACACUAUGCUCCCUCUACAUCCGUAAAAAAGAGAUUGGCUCUGGAACAGGUGACGUCACCAAAUCUGAAGAGCAAGCAGGCCCUACUACUGGAGAAUACACCUGUGCAAGAUGAUGGAAAUAUAAAUACUGAAGCUCUCCCAAAGGAAGUUGAUGAGUCAAACAGUAAGGAAGAGGACAGUUCAACAUCACUAGACAGUAAGCGUCAGAAGAAGGUGGAUGAAGGCAGCAAUACAGAUGACUUGGCAACAUCGGCGGGCUCCCUCGAGGAGUACCGCCGGGCCUAAUGUCUAUCCUAGCUUGGAACUGUCGGGGCAUUGGGCGAGCCCGGACAGUUCAAGAUUUAGUCUGCAUGGUGCAGACUCACUGCCCCGAAAAUAGUCUUCCUAGCGGAGACGAGGCAAAAUCAAAACGUUGUGAGAAACCUAACAUGGAGAUUAGGUCUGCGACGCUGCUUUGUAGUGAAUGGAAGGGGGAAGGGAGGUGGCAUUGCGCUGUUCUGGGAUGAAAGCAUUAAAGUUGAGCUUAAAUCCUAUAAUGUGAGACAUAUUGACGUUCUUAUCACAGAAUCUGAUGGGGAAAGGUGGAGAGGAACCUUUGUUUAUGGCGAACCACGAUCCCAAGAUCGACUCAAAAUGUGGACUUUACUCCGUCGGAUUAAAUCCAAUGCAGCGCUGCCUUGGUUGAUGAUUGGAGACUUUAAUGAGGCUAUGUGGCAAUCUGAACAUUGGUCUCGGGUCAGGCGAUCAGAGAGACAAAUGAAAGAUUUCAGAGAAGCUCUUGCUGAUUGUGAUUUGCAUGAUCUUGGUUUUCAUGGAGUGCCAUGGACGUAUGAUAACAAUCAAAGAGGUGCAAACAAUGUAAGAGUACGACUGGAUCGAGCAGUAGCCUCGCCAGCAUGGCUGGGCAGAUUUAGACAGGCAAGCAUCACACACCUUGUUACACCUAGUUCCGACCAUGUACCGUUGCUACUGGAGAGAUUAGAAGAAGAACUUGUUCAUAACAGUGUGAAGAUAAGUCGUUAUGAAGCUAUUUGGGAAAGAGAAGAAUCCUUUGACUCGGUUGUCCAGCAGGCAUGGGGAGAAGGAGAAGUUGUGCGCAACCUUGGGGACUUCAAAACCAAGAUGGCAUACACAAUGGACGAACUUGUCAAGUGGAGCAAAUCAAAGAUUGGCAACAUAAAGAAAGGUAUUGAAAGUCGCAGGAAGAAAUUAGGUGAACUCAGAAUGGCAGGGAUGCUUGACUCUGAACCAGAGGUGAAAAAGAUCAAAGAGCAGCUUCAGGAAAUGCUUCGCCGUGAGGAGAUAUGGUGGAGACAGCGAUCUCAAAUCACUUGGCUGAAGGAGGGUGACAAAAAUACAAAGUAUUUCCACCUGAAAGCGUCCUGGCGAGCUCGGAAGAAUAAAGUGAAGAAAUUGCGCAGGCCUAAUGGCAGCCUGGUGUCAAAUGAAAAGGAGAUGGGAGAGGUUGCCCGUGAUUUCUUCCAGAAUCUAUAUAUGAAAGAUGAAAAUCUUGACCCUACUGAACUUUUCAAUUUGUUCCAGACAAAAAUAACAGCGGAAAUGAAUGAGUCUUUGAUGAAACCCUUCUCUGAGGAGGAGAUAGGAGACGUCUUGUUCCAGAUAGGGCAUUUGAAAGCGCCAGGGUCCGAUGGUUUCCCGGCGCAUUUCUUCCAAAGAAAUUGGGACCCUUAAGACUGAUGUUAUUAGAGUGUGUUAACAGUGAAAUUUGGUAAGCCUGGAGUAGUCAACGGCUUAGAGUCAGCAUCGGCUUUGAAGUCUGAGAUUAGCCGAUGAGAGUUGUCAAGUCGUCAGUUGUCGGAUUCUUGCUAUAUUCGGUUAAGGAAAUUGAUCUACUAAAUGAAGUUUAUCCAGAAGAGACCGAGUUCAAAGAGAAUGCGGCAUGGCAAGUUAUCUAUUAAUUAGGAAUAGUUUGUAAGUUUCCUUUUAUCUUUAGGAAAGUUUCUUUCUUGUCCUACAAGGACUAGUAUCUACCCAUAGGUAUAAAUAUGUACACCCGGGGUCAUUGUAAACUAUCUUCACGAUCAAUACAAUUCGGCGCAUCGCCACCCUUUUACUUCUACUUUUGUUUUUACGUUCCGGCGGAACUUGGCACCCGACAUGGGGCUGCAUCGUCUUCGAUCUCCGGCGAAGGGAUCAGUCCAAUGUUCCGUCGGCCCAGGCAAUUGUAUCGUCUACGUCGGCAUCGUUCAAGGCUGCAUCAGUACAUUCGACCUCUUGGAUUACUCUGGUUUGGAUAAUAUAUUUGCCUGGCUAUUUAUCAUAUGUCUAUGUUAAUCUAGUCCUAGCAUCUCAAUUUAGCUCUAUCGGAUGUCUCUCACUUUAGGGUUUCUGCCGGUAUCGGCUAAAUCGCCUUGCUAGAUUAGAUUAGUUUAGACAUCUACCACCCUGAAAACUCAGUCAUCGGCUUGAUUGUCUAGAUAUUAUUUUUCUUUUUAUGCUUAGUGCUGCAUCAGUUAAGUUUGAUCUACUAAGUCGUGCUUAGAACCAUAAUUUCUAGCCUGCUUCUUGAUUGCCAAUAAGGGUUUCAUCGGGGUUACAGCCAAUGAGUUAUCUGGACGUUGCAUCGGCUUACAAGGAUUGCAUGUACAUAUAAGUUGGAUUUAGCCGAUCGCAACAAAGGUUUUACUGUUUUAUCUAAUCCUGUGGAUUUAAUGACAUCGGACCUCCAGCCGAUGUAUGCUUUAACCUUCGGAUCAAUACUUGUUCUACUAUAUCAUAUUGUUAGCCGAUUGGUUUCUACUGGGCUAUUCGGAUCAGUGCUUAUUAUAUCUUGUUUCUAGCCGAUUGGUUUCUACUCGGUUAUAUUGUUAUUUUAUUACAUCAUCAUCAACCGAUUGCCUUUAUAUCAUUAUCUAUAUUGGACAUAUAGCCGAUUGCUUAAACCCUAUCGCUAUCGGCUGGUAUCGACAUCGGCUAUUAUCAGCUAUCGGUUGGAACUACUCCAUCGGCUUGUCAGCCAAUCGGCUGUUUUAUCUGCUGUUUACAUAUUUUGUCAGUUGUAGGAUCAAAUUGACUGGCACGCUCGCAUCUCAUCAAUCUUUGGAACUGCACAGGAGCUAAGCAGAUCUCCCAGGCCGGUGUGUUCGAUUUUUUCGUCAACAGAGUGGUACAAGCAUUUUUUGAAAACGGCGAAAUGCAGGAGGGAGCAAAUGACACUGUCAUAGUUAUGAUUCCAAAAACUAAGUCACCGGAGGAGAUGAAGGAUUUCUGGCCCAUCAGUCUAUGUAAUGUGAUAUACAAGGUGAUAGCUAAAUGCCUUGUUAAUCUAUGUAAUGUGAUAUACAAGGUGAUAGCUAAAUGCCUUGUUAAUCGACUCAGACCGCUCCUUCAUGAUGUAAUAUCAAAUGCAUAGAGUGCUUUUGUAUCAGGUUGCAUGAUCACAGACAACGCGCUCAUCGCUUUCGAAUGCUUCCAUGCCAUCCAAAAAUGCAAAAGGGAGAACCAGAAUUUUUGUGCUCUGAAAUUAGAUCUUUCAAAGGCCUAUGAUAGAGUUGAUUGGGCGUUUCUGGAUGGGGUGUUGCAAAGAAUGGGUUUUGGAGAAUCAUGGAGGAAGUGGACAAUGUCAUGUAUGACAUCUGUUAGAUACAGUAUCUGUUUAAAUGGGAACCUGCUAGAUCCUUUUACCCCAACAAGAGGAUUGCGGCAAGGUGAUCCUCUUAGUCCAUACUUGUUUCUGUUUAUUACUGACGGGUUGUCACAUAUUCUGGAGAAGAAGAGCUUGGAAGGUUCAAUCCAACCAAUUAAGGUGUGUCGGGGAGCCCCGGGGAUCUCCCACUUACUUUUUGCUGACGAUAGCUUAUUGUUUUUUCAAGCCGAGGUUGAUCAAGCGAGAAUUUGCUGGAGGCGCUCAGUCUAUACGAGAAAAGCACAGGGCAGCUUAUUAACCCAGCAAAGUGUUCUCUGUUGUUUAGUGAAUUUUGCUCAUAGGAGAGGCAGGAGGAGAUCAAAGCUGUUCUGCAGAUUCAAAGAGCAGGUUUUGAAGAUAAAUACCUAGGCCUUCCAACUCCCGAAGGUAGGAUGAAAUCAGAACAAUUCCAACCAAUCAAGGGAAGAUUUUCUAAGAGAUUAACAGAUUGGUGUGAGAGGUUUCUAUCAGCUGCAGGGAAGGAUACUCUGAUAAAGAGUGUAGCUCAAGCUCUCCCCACCUACACGAUAGGAGUGUUUAAGAUGCCUGAACAUUUUUGUAAUGAUUAUGAAUAGAUGGUUCGCAAUUUUUGGUGGGGACAUGACAAAGGGGAGAGGAAAGUACAUUGGAUAUCCUGGGAAAAGCUCACGAGCCCUAAGCUUCAUGGUGGCCUGGGCUUUCGGGAUACUCGGUCUUUCAAUCAGGCUUUAUUAGCACGUCAAGCAUGGAGGUUGAUCGCGGAGCCGAAUAGCUUGUGCGCUCGGUUGCUGAAAGCAAAGUAUUACCCCAAUGGCUCCCUUACUGAUACAGCUUUCCCGUCCAAUACUUCACCAACUUGGAAAGGAAUCGAACAUGGGCUGGAAUUGCUAAAGAAAGGACUGAUUUGGAGGAUAGGAGACAGGCGGACUACCAAGAUUUGGAGGAAUAGAUGGGUGGCGCAUGGUGAGAAAGUUGAGGUUAUACAGAAGAAGAAUUGGAAUAGGCUCACGUAUGUACAUGAGCUUUUGAUCCCUGGAACAAACGCCUGGAAUGAGGCAUUAAUCAGACAUGUUGCGACGGAGGAAGAUGCAAAUGCUAUUCUAAAGAUCCAUGUGCCAAACCAGGAGACAUCUCACUUUCCUGCAUGGCACUAUGAGAAAACAGGCCUUUUUUCAGUAAGAAGCGCCUAUAAGCUACUUCCUCCGUUUCACAAUAUAAGUCAUUCUAGCAUUUUCCACAUUCAUAUUGAUGUUAAUGAAUUUAGAUAGAUAUAUAUGUCUAGAUUCAUUAACAUCAAUAUGAAUAUAGGAAAUGCUAGAAUGACUUACAUUGUGAAACGGAGGGAGUAGCAUGGAACUUAACUAAGAGUGCUCAAGUUCAGGCCGCAUCAAGUACUGCUACCAAUGGUGAAAGGAAGCUCUGGGAGAAUGUGUGGAAGGCAGACGUUCAACCAAAAGUUAAGAUUUUUGCAUGGAAACUUGCUCACGACAGGCUGCCCACUUGGGAGAAUAAACGAAAAAGAAGGAUACAACCAGUAGGCAUCUGCCCUAUCUGUGGUGUAAAGGAGGAAAAUGGUUUCCAUGCGACUGUUGAAUGUACAAUGGCGAGAUCGUUGCGAGAAGCCAUCAGAGAGUUCUGGGCGCUACCGCCGGAAAGGAAGUUUGCUAUGACUGGGCCUGACUGGCUCCUUGUCCUGUUGGAUAGCUUGAAUAGUUCAGACAAGGCGCGUGUUUUGUACUUGUUGUGGAGAGCAUGGUUCCUCAGGAAUGAUAUGAUCCAUGGAAAGGGGACGGCCACAAUUGCAGAGUCUGUAAAUUUCCUCGUCAACUAUGAGAAGGUACUGUUGCCGAUCCGACAACAAAGCGAUGACAUCAAAGGAAAAGGAUUAAUGUAUAAUGAACCAAUGGUGAAAUUACUGCAGGUUCAGACAACCAAUCAGGUUGAUAAAUGGCACGCCCUUCCCGAAGGUUCAGCAAAGGUAAAUGUGGAUGCUGGUUUUAUAGAAGACACAGGAGUUUCAGCUGCUGGAAUCAUCAUUAGAGACUGCAGGGGUUUAGUGCUGUUUGCUGUGCAAAAAAAUCCUGUGCUACUGCUGUCCAAGCUGAGGCAUUGGCAUGUCUAGAAGGAUUAAGGGCAGCCAUGGAAUGGAUUCAUAUGCCAAGAAUCUUGGAAACUGACAGCGUAGAGGUGUUCAAGGCUCUGUCACAACAGGAGCUGUCGAGAUCACCCUUGGCAGCGACAAUAAAGGAAGCGAGAGGGAUGAUGCAGUGUCUCUAAAGUGUGCAGGUUUGCAAGAUCAAGAGGGAAGCAAAUAGGAUUGCUCAUGCUUUAGCUCAAAUGGCUAUGAGGUCUAGAUCGUGUGUGGAGUAGAAGUUGUGUGCUCCCGCAGGAAUCUUAGACUUGAUAGACCAAGAAUGUAAUCAUCUCUUCCGUAAUCAAUAAAAUUCCCUCUUUGAAGUCAAAAAAAAAAAGGAUCACUGUCGCAUCACACAUCCACUCGCUUCUCCUCCUGCCGCUGCUCGCGCUUCACCUCCGCAUCUCUGGCACGCAGCAGCCGUGGGACCUCCAGGCAAAGCGCUCGCUUCUCCUUCCCCAUCCGCCGCGCAUGCCAUCAGCGGGCCCACAAGCUCAGCUGCGUUCGCUUCUCCUCGCCCCACAGCGCUGCCUCCCCAUUCCCCCGCGCGCUCUAGCCGUACUGUGCCGCUUCUCCUCCCCUCACGCAAGCGACGAGCUCGCUAGCCCAACUACACGAAUAAUCCUCUUUAAUUUCCGCUAACAGUCACACACUUAUUUACUUUGCCUCUUACUCUUCCUCUUCCCAUGUUCAUGUGCAUGUGAAAGAUGCACAUGCCGAUGCCGGUGAUUGCUGCUAUAUAAUGACAUGCUCGGUGUUGUUGCUCGCUCGCUAAAUGUCUUCGUCUCUCUCUCACCAAUUCUGAUUUUCAUAGACUAAUCUUCAUAGACUAAUCGCUCUAAUUAACUUCCUUGCAGUUUUGCUUGAGGUUCUAUUUGACUUUCAUAAUACAUUCCAAUUAUCCUUUCCUUUUGUAUCUGGUACGUAUUUGAAUUAAUAUUUUAAUUACUCUUAUUUUUUUCAUAUGAUAACAUAAAUUUCAUAAUUGUUUAGUGCCCUGUGUUGUUGAACAAUAUUUGAAGCCGUUUUCAUUUUAUAUGCUAUUAAAAACCCUUUUUUCAUUGUUGGUUACACUUCUUAUUAUGCUGCAUUUUCAGCUGAUCUUUUUAGCAUUAGCAUAAUAUUGUUAUUCCUAUGUCCAGCAACUUUAUAAAGGUUUUUAAUACUCUGUAUUGUUCUGUAUUGUACAGGAAACAAGAAAGGUGGGAGCUUUCUUCAUUGAACCACUGCACAAAUAAUUCCUUUGACGGUACGCCAUUAAAAUCCUCUUUUCCCCUUGAUCAUAUCUGCCACUGUAGACUGACUAAGUUGUUUUGCAUUAAUUUUAGUAGCGGUUGCUGCAACCUUGAAAUUAUCUUAACUUAAUAGUGAGACAAGAAAAGGAAGCGAGUUGAAUUGCAUAAGUUUUUCAAUAAUUUGAACUGUCAAUUUGAAAGUGAACUGUCAAUUUGAAAGUUCAACACAUUGUGCAUAUUCGGUUGUCUUGACAACAAUAUUGAUGUUAUAUUUAUUGGAGUCUGAACUCCUAUCUGAUGUUAUAUUUAUUGGAGUCUCGGCUCCUAUCUUUAUUAUUUUAUUCUUUUAUUUGAUUGAAUAGAAUAAAAUGAAGGGUGUAAUAUUCAAACUAUUUCUUUUUUUAUACUUCAAACUGUAGAAGAUUUGCCGGAUAUAUUAGAACGAGAAAAGAAGUAGUAAACCAGAGCCUUACAUAUGUCUGUUAAAAGGAAAAAAACAUCUAGGGAAGAUAUGAGGAUUGAUUUACAUAAAAAAAGAGAGCGAUUGAUUGAAAGAUCAUGAAACAGACAGAUCCUUGACUAUUAGGCUAAUUUUUUCCUUCACUAGAAAAGCGACUUAGAAUCCAUUCUUCAACAAUUGUUGGAAAAUUCUAUUGUGUACCAGCCAUAUGUUCCACCACAUCAUCAACAAAGGUAUGGAAUUACAGAGCUCACUCCACCAAUCUGUGAUGGUUUGCAUGGCUUGCUGUUCUGGGGCUUGGAAGUUCAUCCAAUUGCACACUUUAUCCUAACUAUUUCUACAUUUAUAUUGUAAACUAUAUCUUUAGAAAUGUGCUAUUUGACUUAACAUGUCAAUGUAGGCCAUGUGAUAUUUCAUUUUAGGUUGUCUGGCACUGGCAGCAGCCGACCCAACUUUCACUAUGAGUACUGUAUUUUUCAAGUAAAUACUGCACAUAUAAUUUUUAUCCAUUGUUUUAAAUAAGCCGACAUCUCCAGUGACAACUAAAAGUGCCGCAGCAACACGCGGGGUAUAUUCUAGUUUCACUAAUGCAUGACACGUUGAACAUUAAAGUCGUGUGGCCUCAUGCAUUUUAUAUUAUAAAAUUUCAACAAGAAUGACAAAAUUAUGGUACGCCAAGUGCUUUUUAUUGUUCCGUUGAUGCGGUACCGAACAUUCAAUUUUCUAGCAAGAAUUAGGUUUGCACUGAAUUCUUAAAUCACCAUUCGAGAGAUUUACGAGAAAUCAACAUGUUGCUCUACUUGUAGUGCAGGAUUGACGCAAUUCGUAUUCUUGUAAACCAACUUGUUACGUGUUUUCUUGUCUAAACAUUUUGGAUAGACUUGGGCUGUGUUCGGAAUCCAGGGUUCCCAACCCAUCUCCAUCGUAUUCCGCGUGCACGCUUUUCAAACUGCUAAACGGUGUGUUUUUUUGCAAAAAGUUUCUAUACAAAAGUUGCUUAAAAAAAUCAUAUUAAUCCAUUUUUUGUAAAAAAAGCUAAUACUUAACUAAUCAAGCUCUAAUGAACCGCUCCGUUUUCUGUGCGCACUUUGCAUGUUGGGAACAGUUGAUUCCAAACACAGCCCUAUUCGUUUUCGAGAUGGAAAAGAACUACCACAUAUUUGUAGUGUGUCAAGAACCGGUUUUCUUUGGGUACAUCAUGCGUGAGUUCCUCUAGUUUUGUUGAAACAUCAAGUUUAUUAUCCAUUUUGUUUGCAGUAAACUAUCGACUUGCUAUGUUAGAAUAAACUUCUCAUAGAAACGAGGGUGUCAGCAAGAACAACCUCAACGUGUAGGAGCAUUCCAUAAGUAAGACAUCUCAUAGUGUGGAAGAUGUGUACAUUUUUUUAAAGUCACUCUUUCGUGACUGAAUAAACAGAACAUCAUAAAUCCUUCUUUCUAGUUUCCACCCUCGCUGUUGCUGCUACACUUUUUGCUUCUAUAUUGAAUUAGUUACGUCUAGGUUAUGCUUCUGUGAUACAAAGUGAGCGAGGCUCAACUAAAGAAUGCCUUGUACACUACAUCUUGUCAGGAAGGAUGGACAACAAGAUGGCUUUCAAUUGAAAUUAAUAUGCAUAUAUGAAAGUCAUUAAUAUACCAAUGUUUAAAACUUUGGAAUCAUAUCUUGAUGUCGCUUGAAACAACAUAUUUGCAUGAAGUGACACGUUUGGUCGACAAGGGCAUGUCAUAUUCACAAUGAUCAUGCAUAUGCGGCCUUUCAUAUGCGCUUAUUUUAGUAGUGGAUGAAGAAUCAAUGUGGAUUGCUACAUCUUUACGUGCUUUGUAUGUUCUUCGAUUUUGUUGUAGUGGAUUUAGUAUUUGCCAUAUGUGCUUCGUGUUUGUUCUUAUUGGAAUUAAAGGAUGGACAUCCUUUAUACGCUCCAUUUAUAUCUUAAAGACAAAGUAGCUUCGGAUCGAAUAUAAGCACACAGUAAAAUUGUAGAGUACCAACGAUGGUAAUUAGUUACGACGAUGUACUAGGAUAUAUCACCCCGAGUUUCACAUGUCAAAUAUGAUGAUAUCUGAGCCUAUUUUUAACUUCCAAACCACUAUAUUGUUAAAACUCAGUACAAUAAACCGCCAAGGGUGGUAAUGCUACUAGGUGCACUAUAGUACCUAGGGUAGAUACCAUAUCUAGAUGGCAAGUUCAAAGCCAACAGAGCUUGGGCUGGAGCUUGAGCCAGAUUCCGAUCAAAGUAGAGAUCAUCAAACUGCUGGAGUUGUAGCUGCUGCGCUAUGACCUGAAAAAUGUUAAUAUCCUCAUAGUGAGACUGUUGCGCCACCAGCCAAAGCUGUUGCCAGACUUGGUUGUUUCUCAGUUGAAACGCAACUGAUUGCAAUAAGGGGCUUGCCGUUAUGCCAUACUGCUGCCUUACGAACUCAUUAUAUGGGCUAAGCACCUGUUGCUGUAGCAGGAGAGGCGACUGCAGCUGAUAUUGCCUAUAACUUUGACCUAAAACAUCAAACUGCGCAGAGGCGCUGCAUGCAGCAAUAGUAAGAAGAGCAAAGGCGAAAAUGAUCUUCAUUGCUACGGGACACUAGAUCUUUCUUUUUUGCUGUAUAAUGCUUGAACUGUGUGAACGAUGGGGAGGGUUUUCAUUGCGCUUGUCUAUUUAUAGAUGCGAUGGCACUGAUUUUCUUUCAAUUCCUCAUCGGUUGCUUUGGAGUGUUAGUUUUGCUUUGAUGUCCUAUUAGGAUCCAAGUGAGUCAUGUCAUUUGGACACAUGUUCUAUUAGGUACCCCAACAAAUCCCCUUUGAUUUCAUUACGAAAGUAACUUUUAUGUCCAUCACAUAUACUCCCUCCGUCCCGUAAGGAGAAACCCACUUCUAGGGAUGAACCUGGACAAUCAUUUGUCCAGAUUCAUCCCUAAACCCUAAACAUUGUCCAGGUUCAUCCCUAGAAGUUGUCAUAUUUUGGGAUCGGAAAGUGUACGUGAUGGUUAGCAGGCUAGAAAGAUAAUGAUAUGACUCAUCGCUCGCUUUAUACGUUAGUUUGGUAAGGAUUGCAACCGUUAUCUAGCUAUAUUUGUUAUGUUUUGUGAGCUAUUAUUUCACUAAUGCAUGACACGUUGAACAUUAAGGUCGUGUGGCCUCAUGCAUUUUAUGUUACAAAAUUUCAACAAGAAUGACAAAAUUAUGGUAUGCCAAGUGCUUUUUAUUGUUCCGUUGAUGCGGUACCGAACAUUUGAUUUUAUAGCAAGAGUUAGGUUUGCACUAAAUUCUUAAAUCACCAUUCGAGAGAUUUACGAGAAAUCACCAUUUUGCUCUACCUAUAGUGCAGGAUUGACGUAAUUCGUAUUCUUGCAAACCAACUUGUUACGUGUUUUCUUGUCUAAACUUUUUGGAUAGACUUGGGCUGUGUUCGGAAUCCAGGGUUCCCAACCCAUCUCCAUCGUAUUCCGCGCGCACGCUUUUCAAACUGCUAAACGGUGUGUUUUUUUGUAAAAAGUUUCUCUACAAAAGUUGCUUAAAAAAUCAUAUUAAUCUAUUUUUUUGAAAAAAAAGCUAAUACUUAACUAAUCAAGCUUUAAUGGACCGCUCCGUUUUCCGUGCGCACUUUGCAUGUUGGGAACAGCUGAUUCCAAACACAGCCUUGAUUCGUUUUUAAGAUAGAAAAGAACUACCACAGAUUUGUAGUGUGUCAAGAACCGGUUUCCUUUGGGUAUAUCAUGCGUGAGUUUCUCUAGUUUUGUUGAAACAUCAGGCUUAUUAUCCAUUUUAUUGGCAGUAAACUAUCGACUUGCUAUGUUAGAAAAAACUUCUCAUAGAAACGAGAGUGUCAGCAAGAACAACCUCCGCGUGUAGGAGCAUUCCAUAAGUAAGACAUGUCAUAAUUUUAACUUUGGAAGAAUUGUACAUCUAUAUCUAUACUAAUAUAAAAAGGAUGAGUUGAGCCUAGCAAUGCUUCAGGCCAAAUCAUCGUCCCUAAUCCCUACCAUCCAUCCGCAUCUGCAUCGCAUCAUCACCCUAAUCCCUACCGUCCACCCACAUCGCAUCACAAAUCCGCACUAAUCCACUGCAAUUUCACCCUCCCACAGCGACCUCAUCCUCUCUCCACCGAAUUUUUUGGCCUGCGCUCCCGCCACCGCGAGAUGACUCUGCGUCUCCGCCCUCAGCGCCACGGUGUUAUCGGGCCAUCGCGCUUGCGCGCCAUCCUAAACACUCCCCGCAAACGUCGCCCUCCACCCACCCCUCUAGAUUAAGCCCACCCUUCCUCCAAGCUCCCAAUCCACCCUUUCUCCAAGCCUCCCAGGGCCAGCCGUGAUCCCCUCCACCGUGCCACUACCGACGGUACCCCCCCCCCACUCCCUGACGCAGCCAGUCCUCCUCGCCGGGUGCACCCAUCUCCGUCGUUGUCCACUCUUCCGGCGGCAUCACCACCCAGUUGCGCCACCCGGUCGUCAUCCCUUCUACCACCGCUGCAAGGUGCAGACUCUGCUCACAAUGCACAGCUCCACCGUGCCCCGGUCACUAUUCCUCUCAGUCGCGUGCCUUCCUCCCUUCAAGGCUUCAACUGACGUCGCCGUGCUCUCUUCUGCCUCGCGUUGCUUGAAUGGGCAAAGGCUGCUUCGAUCCACGCAGUAUUCACCGUCAGAUUACUUUUGUAUGGCCUCAAACCCUGAACCUCUUUUCUUUGAAUCUUGUUAUCAAUCUUAAUUAGGUUUCCUCAACCUCCCUCCAUCUGCUUUGGAUCUUUCCUUCUUAAUUUCCAGUGAAUAAUCGGUGAAAAGAAGACCAGCUCUGGCGCCUACCAAUGCACAGCUUGAGCAGAGCAGCGAUGAGGACCAGAUACAUUCGACAGGCGGAGAACAAUGCACAACGGCUAUGGCAGAUGCGGCUGAGAGGAUGAGACCUCAUUCCCGAUCUAGCUGCAAGCUGCAUGUGGCUGAUGCAAUCUCCUCCGCAUCCGUUUGCUGCGUCUCCGGCCCUCCGCAGCCCGCCCAUGCAACUUUGGCGCAUGGUACUCUGGCAGCCACAACAAUUAAUUUGCGUCGCUCAGUGGUGAUGACUGACGAGGUACACAUCCGCUUGAUUUUGUUUAUAUAUGUUACUGAAUCUUAGCUCGAAUGAUUUUUUUUCUUUUACUGAGCGCAGUAAGAUUGAGAUAGAUCAGAUCAAUUUCUUUUUGCUCUUCCAAAGGCCUUAAUAAGACAUUCAAGAAGCUAGAUCAUGAUGUCAAAUAUUCCGGACUUCUUUGGCUCAGAGUAAAUUUCUGCCAGCUUAUGCUAUAACAUGGAAUAAAAAUAUACAAUAACACAAAUGUCUAUUGCAAAGAAAGAUUCUCACUCUGCAAUUCUUUUGAAUCUAUUGUAUAUUUGCAGGGGUCAGAUUGUCAAGGUACUUAUCAACAAUUCAAUAACGAUAUAACAACUUGUUAAAUCUCUUAUUUCCUGCUUCAUGUCUCUGAUAUUCAGAUGUUUAUUCAGUCAAUUGUUUGGAAGGAAUUGUCAAGUCACCUUGGGGCUUUGCAAUGUUAAGGGUAGAUGUCCAAAGGUGUCUUAGGUAUAUAGCUCAGUUAAGUUGUGGCACAAAUUAUCUACUCUAAUUGGAUAAAACUGCAAUAAUUAUGUAAAUAUUUAUAUUCAUUGAUGAACUCAAUAGUGGCUUGGUGGCAUAUGAUCUUAAAAGGGCCCCUUAUUCAGACAGAUCACAUUGAUGCCAAAAAUCAUGGUAGAUUCUCAUAGAUAAUAGGGAGAAAAUUAAAGGGAAUUAAUGGACAUGUAUAACAAUGUUGCAUGUUAUUCUUCAAUUAUUGGAGCGGUCCAGAGAAGGUUGAGAAUAUAUUGGCCAUAAUAAAAGAGUGAUGGAGCAAUCUCUCAAAGAAUCUCUGAAUAACAUCAGAAUUCAUAAGGUAUACAUUAUUUGUUGCUUGAUUCACUACAUAAUAUCUAGAGUGUUAAUGCCAAGCCAUGUAGUGCUCUACUCACACUAUGUAGUACAUAUACUAUUUACUCAUAAUAAUUUCAUUUUGAAACUUGUAUAGGAGAACUUUGCAAAGAAGCAUAUGACUACAAUGUGCUGCUGCUCAGGUAAUAAGUUUCAGCAUCAAAUUUCAAUAUGUGCAAUGCUGGUUUUAGGUUCAGAUAUCUGACUAACCUUUACCAAAUUUAGUUCCAAUAUGAAUAGGUGACACAGACACUUCUUCAUGGUUCCAUAGCAGCGGCGGUGCGGAGGGUCAACAACCUAUGAUGCUAUCGGAAGACCCCAGCUUGCUCCAUCUAAUGUGAGAUAAAGCUAGAUGAUGAAUGCAUAAACUUCAGGAGAUGCCAUGAACUUAACACAAGCCUGGCAAGCUCUCAUGAACUUAACACAAGAAAGUCUGCUCCUGAUGUAGGGACAUUGGGUGCAGAUCUUCCUAGGCUACUUCAGCAUGAGCAAGCAGUCAAUCAACAACGCCGGCAACAAGCGCAAGCUGGAUAUUGUGACUGUCUUAAUCUAAUUAAAUCAAAAUUAGUUAUUUCUCUGCCAUUUAUUUGGUGUUAACAUAAAUAGUUCUGAUGUAUGUCCUUUUGUAUGCUUGUAAAGAAGAGAUGCCAUGUUAUCAGGAGAUGCUAAUCAGAACUCAUCUCAGAAGGGGUGUGCGGCUGUGCUAUAUCAAUUGAAAAUUGCUUUUUUUUUCAAAACAAAUGAAUGACAGUUAAACAAUAAGUCGUAAACUUGAAAAAUCAGAAAAAUACUACGUAUGUUUCUUAUUAAUGAAUAUUUGAAAUUGAUGUUCGCAAAAUACUAAGGAAGUUCCAUGUAUGUUAAAUGGAGUUCAACUUCGAGAAGAGUUUUUUUUUCGAUCUGAAGGCCCGUAGUAUAUAAUCAACUCAAAGAAAUCUUAAUGGAUGAUCCAACUUCAAUUUGGAAAUAUAUGGAAUAACAACAUCUUUAUAAUAAUACAUUCUUAUUAGUUUCAAAACCCAUUACUCUCUUUCAAAUUUGACUUGACUAUAUAAAAACUUUAAUUCCUUCUCUGUUUCAGUGAUUUAUUUUUUUACCAACAUAGAUUUCAUGCGCUAUUGUAUUCCGAUCGUAUGCAACAAUGAGCUCUCUUUUUUUUUUUGCAUUUUUUAGCUUGAAUGGGGAUUAACAUGAAGCUUGGUUUAUUUAUUUUAUCACCACAUUGAAAUAAAUCGUCUUAUAUACAUAUUGCGACAGCAAAAUAUUACGUUGAUGCCAUAUGUAAUAUGAAAAACGUGCCUUGCACGUGCAUGAUUACUAGUUUUUUUAAAGUCACUCUUUCAUGACUGAAUAAACUAAGAAACAUCAUAAAUCCUUCUUUCUAGUUUCCACCCUCGUUGUUUCUGCUACACUUUUUGCUUCUAUACUAAAUUAGUUACGUCUAGGUUAUGCUUCUAUGAUACAAAGUGAGCGAGGCUCAACUAAAGAAUGCCUUGUACACUACAUCUUGUCAGGAAGGAUGGACAACAAGAUGGCUUUCAAUUGAAACUAAUAUGCAUAUAUGAAAGUCAUUAAUAUACCAUUGUUUAAAACUUUGAAAUCAUAUCUUGAUGUCGCUUGAAACAACAUAUUUGCAUGAAGUGACACGUUUGGUCGACAAGCGCAUGUCAUAUUCACAAUGAUCAUGCAUAUGCGGCCUUUCAUAUGCGCUUAUUUUAGUAGUGGAUGAAGAAUCAAUGUGCAUUGCUACAUCUUUACGUGCGUUUUAUGGUCUAUGAUUUUGUUGUAGUGGAUUUAGUAUUUGCCAUAUGUGCUUCGUGUUUGUUCUUAUUGGAAUUAAAGGAUGGACAUCUUUUAUACACUCCAUUUAUAUCUUAAAGACAAAGUAGCUUCGGAUCGAAUGUAAGCACACAGUAAAAUUGUAGAGUACCAAUGAUGGUAAUUAGUUACGAUGAUGUACUAGGAUAUAUCACCCUGAGUUUCACAUGUCAAAUAUGAUGAUAUCUGAGUUUAUUUUUAACUUCCGAACCACUGUAAUGUUAAAACUCAGUACAAUACACCGCCAAGGGUGGUAAUGCUACUAGGUGCACUAUAGUACCUAGGGUAGAUACCAUAUCUAGAUGGCAAGUUCAAAGCCAACAGAGCUUGAGCUUGAGCUUGACCCAGAUUCCGAUCAAAGUAGAGAUCAUCAAACUGCUGGAGUUGUAGCUGCUGCGCUAUGGCCUGAACAAUGUUAAUAUCUUGAUAGUGAGACUGUUGCGCCACCAGCCUGAGCUGUUGCCAAACUUGGUUGUUUUUCAGCUGAAACGCAGCUGAUUGCAAUAAGGGGCUUGCUGCUAUGCCAUACUGCUGCCUUACGAACUCAUUAUAUGGGCUAAGCACAUGUUGCUGUAGCAGGAGAG